GCCUGGGUGGCUCAGUUAGUUAAGCAUCUGACUUCAGCUCAGGUCAUGAUGUCCUUGUUCAUGGGUUCAAACCCCACAUUGGGCU
rnacentral:tRNA from 1 species